rnacentral:rRNA from 1 species
UAGGGAAUCUUCGGCAAUGGGGGGGACCCUGACCGAGCAACGCCGCGUGAGUGAAGAAGGUUUUCGGAUCGUAAAGCUCUGUUGUUAAGGAAGAACGAGUGUGAGAAUGGAAAGUUCAUACUGUGACGGUACUUAACCAGAAAGGGACGGCUAACUACGUGCCAGCAGCCGCGGUAAUACGUAGGUCCCGAGCGUUGUCCGGAUUUAUUGGGCGUAAAGCGAGCGCAGGCGGUUAGAUAAGUCUGAAGUUAAAGGCAGUGGCUCAACCAUUGUAGGCUUUGGAAACUGUUUAACUUGAGUGCAGAAGAGGAAAGUGGAAUUCCAUGUGUAGCGGUGAAAUGCGCAGAGAUAUGGAGGAACACCAGUGGCGAAGGCGACUUUCUGGUCUGUAACUGACGCUGAUGUGCGAAAGCGUGGGGAUCAAACAGG